UGGGGAGCCAAGCGACAAUAUCUUUCUCCUCGAUCGCGGCUUUCUCAAGACCCAAAUAGAUAAAAAAAUGAACCCAGAACUCUGCAUUACAUUUUCGUGGCUUUGACUGCCAUUGUUCAUUCUCGUAAGGCGUGAGUUACUCGCGCAGGCCGGGGCGCGAAGGUUCAGCCAGACACACUCCCAACUAAAUCCAAGGAAAAGGAAUUCCUCGCGAGCUUUGCGUGGGAAAAUGGCCGGUUUUCCCAUGAAACUGACUGCACGCUAGUCCGACAAGGGAAGAGGGGAACAUAGACAUUAGACGCUGAGGAAGCGCGCGCGUGCUCGACGAUCAUGGGGAGCCCGGGAAAGUGCAUACUGGUGACGGGGCCUCCUGGAAUUGGGAAGACCACUCUAGUGAUGAGAGUUGUGGAGCGCCUCAGAACCGCGCUGCCCGAUUUAAAAGUACAAGGUUUCUAUACGCGUGAGAUAAGGCAAGGCUCUGAAAGAGUAGGUUUUGAGGUGGUCACAUUGCAAGGCCAGCGAGGACUUUUGGCAUCAACUACAACUACAAGACAGGCAACCAAGGUGCCAACUGUUGGGAAAUAUAAAGUUGAUAUAUCAUCAUUUGAAUCAUUGGCCUUGCCUGAGCUACAGGUCAAAGAAGAAACAGAUCUGUUUGUCAUUGAUGAGGUUGGCAAAAUGGAGCUAUUCAGCUCAUCCUUUUUUCCUGCAGUUCUGCAAGUUCUUGAGUCGAAUAUCCCAAUCUUAGCAUCCAUUCCCAUACCAAAAUUUGGUCGUGAUAUACCUGAAGUUGCAAGGUUGAGAAAUCAUCCAAAUGCAUCAGUAUACACGCUGAAUGUUGGAAACAGAGAUUCAAUUAAAGAUGAAGUGGUAGCCAAGCUAAUGAAUUUGUUGAACAAGUAGGCGUGGCCACUGCAGGGACUGCGACGAAAAACAUUCCUUCUGAAAGAGAGGACUACAUUUUUACUUCGCGCGACGGGCGGAACUAAUCCUCUCUUUCGCUUCUCCCUCUCGCCGGAAGCAGCUCGUGCCUCUCCUCCUCUUCUCUGGUUUCUCGCGCGCCACCGCCGCCUCUCAUUCAGAGUAUGAAUGGCUGAGAAGAGGAAAACUUUUUUUUCCUCAACAGGAAUACAUUCAGUGACUUCAAAGUAUUGGCUGAGAAGAUUAGAGUUUGAAGCAAUCCUCCCUCCUAAUAACUUCAAAGUAAUCAAGUGACUUUUGAAUGCGUAGCCUUAAUGAUCCGACUUCCGACAUCCAAUUGGAUUUCAAUCACUCUGAGCUUGCUACUCUCUGGUGCUUUCUCUAGCAUAUCUUUAUGGAGCAGUUUUGGUUAACAGAUGAAGGGUUUUUACCUAGCCAACAAUUGCAUCGUGUGUGCCAUUGCUGAACAAUCUUCUUCAGCCCAUAUUUGGGGAAGAUGUGGGAGGCCUCUCGUUGGUGUGUUACAGUUCCUACGGUAUCUGUUAAUAACUGGUCCUAACAGCAUCUUUGUAGAUGAGAGGACCAUUACUUGAACUUGUCAGAUAGUUACUAAGGAUCAAAGAUUUUCUCCGGUGGUGCAUUUUACCUAAGAAUACCGGUACUUUUGGGGCUUUACAGGCUUAAGAAAAGUUUAUUGUACAUUUCUUUACCGUAUGAAAGGAAGACAAUUAUAUUGCAGCUUGUAAUUCUCUGCUCUUCUGAAUUGAUAUUCAGGCUGCACGGCUGAAGCUGUUCUUUUAAUGGCCUUUUAUUUCGUUGAGCGUAGUGCUGGCUUGCCCUCAGUAAUCUUUGUCCCUAUUGCUUGACAAGGGAACCAACUGAUUUACGUUUUCUUUUGUACAAUGAACCGAAACUGUUCCUAAGUACGUUUUGCUAAGUUCAUGUUCUUUCUUGAAUGAAGACAUUUCCAGUUUCGUUUUUCUUCUUAAA